AACGAACGCUGGCGGCAUGCCUAACACAUGCAAGUCGAACGAGACCUUCGGGUCUUGUGGCGCCCGGGUGCGUAACGCGUGGGAAUCUGCCCUUGGGUUCGGCAUAACAGUUGGAAACGACUGCUAAUACCGGAUGAUGACUUAAGUCCCAAGAUUUAUCGCCCAGGGAUGAGCCCGCGUAGGAUUAGCUAGUUGGUGGGGUAAAGGCCUACCAAGGCGACGAUCCUUAGCUGGUCUGAGAGGAUGAUCAGCCACACUGGGACUGAGACACGGCACAGACUCCUACGGGAGGGAGCAGUGGGGAAUAUUGGACAAUGGGCGAAAGCCAGAUCCAGCAAUGCCGCGUGAGUGAUGAAGGCAGUAGGGUUGUAAAGCUCUUUUACCCGGGAUGAUAAUGACAGGACCGGGAGAAUAAGCCCCGGCUAACUCCGUGC
rnacentral:rRNA from 1 species